rnacentral:rRNA from 1 species
CCCUUAGAUGUUCUGGGCCGCACGCGCGCUACACUGAUGAAUGCAACGAGCUCUACCCUUGACCGAAAGGCCCGGGUAAACUUGUGAAACUUCAUCGUGAUGGGGAUAGAUUAUUGCAAUUAUUAAUCUUCAACGAGGAAUUCCUAGUAAGCGCGAGUCAUCAGCUCGCGUUGAUUACGUCCCUGCCCUUUGUACACACCGCCCGUCGCUCCUACCGAUUGAAUGGUCCGGUGAAAUCUUCGGAUUGCUGACCAAGAUCCAGCAAUGGAGCUUGGUUGCGAGAAGUUGAUUAAACCUUAUUAUUUAGAGGAAGGAGGAGUCGUAACA